rnacentral:rRNA from 1 species
GCAUAUCAAUAAGCGGAGGAAAAGAAACCAACAGGGAUUGCCCUAGUAACGGCGAGUGAAGCGGCAACAGCUCAAAUUUGAAAUCUGGCUUCGGCCCGAGUUGUAAUUUGCAGAGGAAGCUUUAGGCGCGGCACCUUCUGAGUCCCCUGGAACGGGGCGCCAUAGAGGGUGAGAGCCCCGUAUAGUUGGAUGCCUAGCCUGUGUAAAGCUCCUUCGACGAGUCGAGUAGUUUGGGAAUGCUGCUCAAAAUGGGAGGUAAAUUUCUUCUAAAGCUAAAUACCGGCCAGAGACCGAUAGCGCACAAGUAGAGUGAUCGAAAGAUGAAAAGCACUUUGAAAAGAGGGUUAAACAGCACGUGAAAUUGUUGAAAGGGAAGCGCUUGUGACCAGACUUGCGCCAGGCUGAUCAUCCGGUGUUCUCACCGGUGCACUCAGCCCGGCACAGGCCAGCAUCGGUUCUCGCGGGGGGAUAAAGGUCUCGGGAACGUAGCUCCUCCGGGAGUGUUAUAGCCCGGGGCGUAAUGCCCUCGCGGGGACCGAGGUUCGCGCAUCUGCAAGGAUG